rnacentral:rRNA from 1 species
UACGAAGGGUGCAAGCGUUACUCGGAAUUACUGGGCGUAAAGCGUGCGUAGGCGGUUUGUUAAGUCCGCUGUGAAAGCCCUGGGCUCAACCUGGGAAUUGCAGUGGAUACUGGCAAGCUAGAGUGCGGUAGAGGAUGGUGGAAUUCCCGGUGUAGCGGUGAAAUGCGUAGAUAUCUGGAGGAACACCAAUGGCGAAGGCAACUUCCUGGGGCAAUACUGACACUGAUGUGCGAAAGCGUGGGGAGCAAACAGG